GAAGUCCCGAGAGGCGAGAGCUCUGGGUACCAAGGCGGUGGGAGGGUCGCGUGUGGCCGUGAGCGCCGCGGGAUGUCUCUACCGCUUACCUGUCGCGCCGAGGUAGAGCCGCAGCCACGCCGCCGUGCCGCUCGCGGGUUGUCAGACGGGACGUCCCGGAGGGCGGGGCAGGGGCGGGCGCCCUUGGCCGCUGAGGCGCGUCCGACCCGCCCUCUCCGCCGCCAGGUGCAGCCGGCCGCCCGCCGCGCCCCGGGUCGCCGCUGCCAGCCCCGGAACGCCCUGCGGGUCUUAGGGCCGUCUGGAGGCCGGUGGCCGGGUGAGAAGUGCGGGUCCCGCCACUCCUAGGAGCCGAUCUUCUCCAGAUCCAGCCCACCCCGGGGUGCCAGUUUCUGCGGCCAAGCUCUCAGCGCCGAGGAAAGACUGGAGGGUCCUAGCUACCCGAAAGACUACCGGCAUUAGCCGAGCCGCCGGCGGCGCGGAGAGGCGUGGAUGCAAGCGCAGAGCGCCAGCAGUAACAGUAGUGAAUCGUGUGCCACGAACGGUGCUAAGGACGUCACGUGCCAGGUCUCAGCUAAACUACUGCCAGUACCUAUUAUCCCCAGUAUACCUGGAAGGUGGUUGAGCACACAGCUGGAGAGUGUUUCUUAAAGUGCGGUCCUGGGACCAACAGCAUCAGCAUCACCUGGGGAGUUGCUAGAAAUGGGUAGGAUUGAGGUAUUCCGAAGGAGAAGAUAUUUUGCCAGAAGGCCAGAAGUAUUCCAGUGAUGGAGUCUGGAGGGACGAGACCAGCAGAGCAUGGAGAAGAGCUUAUUCAGAUGAUUGGUUCCCAAAGGAGGAGAAAGGGAGUGUCCACUCUUGACCUAGUCACCCAUCACCCAUAAUUCUAAGCAGUUGAGUAACCACCACCAACCCCCACAAUCCCUUCCUUUCACACUGGAGAUUCUUUCUGGGGUUUAAAUUCCUGAAGAGAGACUUCUUGUAGUUUACCUUGAUCACCCAUUUUAGCCCCUUUAUAGACCUUCAGGGCUCAUCUCUUACUGCUUUAGCUGCCACCAUUCUUGUCACUUGCCUUAUUCAACAGCUCUCCUUCUGUGGUGGUUUGAAGCUGUUAUGCACCCCCAGAAAAGGCAAUGUUCUUUUAAUCCAUUCCUGUUGGUGGGACAUUUUGGUUAGGUUAUUCACUUGAGAUGUGACCUGCCCCGUUUUACUGGAGCCCUUUAUGAGAGGAUAAAAGACAUUAAAAGCUGGGAGAGCUUAGACGAAAAGCCCCAGAGAAGCUAAGAGAGGACCCACAGAAGUUCAGAGAGGAAGCCACGGGAACCAGAAGCUGAAGGCAAUGAAACCUGGGAGCAAAGGACCAGUAGAUGCUGGCCAUGUGCCUUCCCAUG